GCACUGCUGAGGAGUCCCAUAGUGGGACGAAACGGCCGUCCAGUGC
rfam:Schistosoma rodhaini strain Burundi genome assembly, scaffold: SROB_scaffold0004160